rnacentral:rRNA from 1 species
UACGUAGGGGGCAAGCGUUGUCCGGAAUCAUUGGGCGUAAAGCGCGUGUAGGCGGUUUCGUAAGUCUGCUGUGAAAGUCGGAGGCUCAACCUUCGAAAGCCGGUGGAUACUGUGAGACUUGAGUACGGAAGAGGAGAGUGGAAUUCCUGGUGUAGCGGUGAAAUGCGCAGAUAUCAGGAGGAACACCAACGGCGAAGGCGGCUCUCUGGUACGUGACUGACGCUGAGACGCGAAAGCGUGGGGAGCAAACAGG